CCCUCCCCCUCUUCCUCGCCGUCGCCGUCUCCGUCGCGGCGCUCCUCCGCACCGGCGAGGCCUCGGUGCACGAGUACAGCGGCCUCAGCUUCCUCAACAAGGGCAAUGCCUUCAUCCUCCACGCCGGGAGCGAGGGCCUCUACGCCCCCGUCUCCCCCGCCAAUGCCACCGCCGAGGAGGAGGACGACGAGGCCGCCGCCGACGCCUUCAUACGGUUUGACAAGAUUACGUUUAGGAGGCCAGAGGAGGCUAAUGAUUCUGUGAAAGAAACUACUUCAUCUAAGGUUCAGAUAAUUGUCUUUGAAAUAGAAGAUCGUGAAAUGAUUGGUGGAUCAGCAUAUGGUGGUCAAAAAGCAAUUUGCUGUACAUCAGAUCUUGCAAAGUUGGGAGCUUGUGUUGAAGGCUCUGUCAUCUACCGCCCAUCGCAGGUGAAUCCUGGCUGGCCACAGUUGUUUGUUGCUUCUUUUGAUGGAAGUGAUCUGAUUGCAACGCUGCCUUCAAGGACCAUUCCAGUAAAGAAAACUGGGAUGUACAAUAUGUACUUUAUACACUGUGACCCGGCACUUGCUGGACUGGAAAUCGACGGGAAAACCAUAUGGAAAAAUCCUACUGGCUACCUUCCAGGUCGGAUGGCACCUCUUAAGAACUUCUUUGGGCUGAUGUCAUUUGCUUUCGUGAUACUUGGUAUCUAUUGGUUUUAUCAAUACAUGAAGUUCUGGCGAGAGGUUCUUCCACUUCAGAACUGUAUUACUCUUGUUAUUACAUUGGGUAUGCUUGAGAUGGCAUUGUGGUAUUUUGAAUAUGCUGAGUUCAAUGAGACUGGAGUUCGGGCAAAGGCCAUCACAUUUUGGGCUGUAACAUUUGGGACUAUUAAAAGAACAGUGGCUCGUCUUAUUAUUCUCAUUGUCUCGAUGGGGUAUGGAGUUGUGAGGCCUACUUUGGGUGGUCUGACAUCGAAAGUGGUCAUGCUUGGAGGAACAUUCUUUGUAGCUACAGAAAUUCUUGAGCUAGUGGAAAAUCUAGGUACUGUGAAUGAUCUGUCUGGAAAAGCUCGGCUAUUUUUGGUCUAUCCAGUGGCUAUCUUGGAUGCUUCAUUCAUUGUUUGGAUAUUUAUUUCUCUAGCCAAGACCCUUAGCCAACUUCAGGCAAGAAGGUUGAUGGCCAAACUUGACAUUUAUAGGAAAUUCACUAUUGCAUUGGCUAUUACUGUUCUGGUAUCUAUCGGCUGGAUUGGCUAUGAGAUUUACUUCAAAUCGACAGAUGUGUUCAAUGAGCGGUGGCAGUAUGCAUGGAUAAUUCCUGCUUUCUGGCAUGCCCUAUCAUUCUCACUUCUUUGCGUCAUUUCCUACCUGUGGGCGCCUUCUCAGAGCUCAAUGAGAUUUACCAAUGAUGCAAGUGAAAAGUUUGAUCGAGAGGACAGCCUGUCAUUAAUAAGGCCAAGGCCCAUUGUUUCCAACAACGGGUGGAGCGUAGCUUCGUCAACAGACACCAAAGCGACGAAGAGCGCAGACAGUGUGACAUCUUUUGACGAAGACGACGAAGAAAACAAAAGGGAGUGA
rnacentral:rRNA from 1 species